rnacentral:rRNA from 1 species
GGGUUAAGUCCUGCAACGAGCGCAACCCUUAUCCUUUGUUGCCAGCGGUUAGGCCGGGAACUCAAAGGAGACUGCCAGUGAUAACCUGGAGGAAGGUGGGGAUGACGCCAAGUCAUCAUGGCACUUACGACCAGGGCUACACACGUGCUACAAUGGCGCAUACAAAGAGAAGCUCCCUCGCGAGCGCAAGCGGACCUCAUAAAGUGCGUCGUAGUCCGGAUUG